rnacentral:rRNA from 1 species
GACGAACGCUGGCGGCGUGCUUAACACAUGCAAGUCGAGCGGUAAGGCCCUUUCGGGGGUACACGAGCGGCGAACGGGUGAGUAACACGUGGGUGACCUGCCCUCAGCUCUGGGAUAAGCCUGGGAAACCGGGUCUAAUACUGGAUAUGACUCCAUGACGCAUGUUGUGGGGUGGAAAGCCUUGUGCGGCUGAGGAUGGGCCCGCGGCCUAUCAGCUUGUUGGUGGGGUGANGGCCUACCAAGGCGACGACGGGUAGCCGGCCUGAGAGGGCGACCGGCCACACUGGGACUGAGACACGGCCCAGACUCCUACGGGAGGCAGCAGUGGGGAAUCUUGCGCAAUGGGCGAAAGCCUGACGCAGCGACGCCGCGUGAGGGAUGACGGCCUGGUUGUAACGUCUUACUAGUCUCCGACGAACGACGAGAGUGACGGUAGGAGACGAGAAGAAGACGACCGGACC